AGUGAACGCUGGCGGUAUGCCUAACACAUGCAAGUCGAACGGCAGCACAGUAAGAGCUUGCUCUUACGGGUGGCGAGUGGCGGACGGGUGAGGAAUACAUCGGAAUCUACUUUUUCGUGGGGGAUAACGUAGGGAAACUUACGCUAAUACCGCAUACGACCUACGGGUGAAAGCAGGGGAUCUUCGGACCUUUCGCGAUUGAAUGAGCCGAUGUCGGAUUAGCUAGUUGGCGGGGUAAAGGCCCACCAAGGCGACGAUCCGUAGCUGGUCUGAGAGGAUGAUCAGCCACACUGGAGCUGAGACACAGUCCCGACUCCUACGGGAGGCAGCAGUGGGGAAUAUUGGACAAUGGGCGCAAGCCUGAUCCAGCCAUACCGCGUGGGUGAAGAAGGCCUUAGGGUUGUAAAGCCCUUUUGUUGGGAAAGAAAAGCAGCAGGUUAAUACCCCGCUGUUCUGACGGUACCCAAAGAAUAAGCACCGGCUAACUUCGUG
rnacentral:rRNA from 1 species